CAAUAGCGUAUAUUAAAGUUGUUGCAGUUAAAAAGCUCGUAGUUGGAUUUCUGGUGGGAGCACGGGUCGGCCUUCACGGGUUGUACUGUUGUUGCGUCCUGCCGUUUCGGAGGAAUGGUACAUGUUAUUAGGUUAGCGUGAUCGGAAACUCUGUCGUUUACUGUGAAAAAUUAGAGUGUUCAAAGCAGGCCUUCGCUGUGAAUACAUUAGCAUGGAAUAAUAAGAUAGGACUGUAGUGUCUAUUUUGUUGGUUUGCGUACUAUGGUAAUGAUUAAUAGGGAUAGUGGGGUAUUCAUAUUCAAUUGUCAGAGGUGAAAUUCUUGGAUUUAUGGAAGAUGAACUACUAGCGAAAAGCAUUUAACCAAGGAUUGUUUUCAUUAAUCAAGAACGAAAGUUAGGGGAUCGAAGAUGAUUAGAUACCAU
rnacentral:rRNA from 1 species